rnacentral:lncRNA from 1 species
AAUAUUCCUUUGUCAUUCCCUCGGUACACAUCUUCUAUGUUUCUACCAACUGUGUUCGCUAGUAUCGAAGGAAGAGAUGAAAUGCCAUCUUCAGGACGGUCGAGUGCAGCAAUGUUAACCAACGUUGCUACGGCUUCCAUGGCGGACGGUGGUUCACCAAUGACAUGAAGUCCACAAGGCAAAAGGCGGGAUUCAAUCUCCAUGAUCUUUGAAUAUACCCUUCCGACAACAAGGUCGCGAUCUUUUGCAGGGAUUUCCUCUCCCUCCUCAGGUAGUUCAACAUCCUUAUCGAGAUUACAUUGUCUAGCAGUACUGACAAUCGAGCUAACAAUUUGUGCCCCACGACCAGUAUCUUUAAGUGAUUGGUACGAGGAAAUAAGCUCACUCAACUGCUUAAGGCCCUUAUAAAGCCCUGCAUUUUCGGCUGGAGGUGUCAAAUAGCUUAUGGUAUUAGCAUAGCUACGACGUUUAGCAACUGUAGCUUCAGACGGGUUGUUA